GUACUGACGAAGAGUCCCAAAGUAGGACGAAACAGUUGUCCAGUAC
rfam:Trichobilharzia regenti genome assembly, scaffold: TRE_scaffold0021029